AACGCGAAGAACCUUACCUGGGCUCGAAGCACAGUGGACCGGGGUAGAAAUAUCCCUUUUCGCAAGAACUGCUGUGGAGGUGCUGCAUGGCUGUCGUCAGCUCGUGUCGUGAGAUGUUGGGUUAAGUCCCGCAACGAGCGCAACCCUUAUCGUUAGUUGCCAGCGGGUCAAGCCGGGCACUCUAGCGAAACCGCCCCGGAUAACGGGGAGGAAGGUGGGGAUGACGUCAAGUCCUCAUGGCCUUUAUGUCCAGGGCUACACACGUGCUACAAUGGUCGGUACAAACCGUCGCAAACCUGCGAAGGGGAGCUAAUCGGAAAAAGCCGGCCUCAGUUCGGAUUGGAGUCUGCAACUCGACUCCAUGAAGCUGGAAUCGCUAGUAAUCGCGGAUCAGCACGCCGCGGUGAAUACGUUCCCGGGCCUUGUACACACCGACUGUAC
rnacentral:rRNA from 1 species